AUCAACUUUGAUAGGAAGCUCUAAAACCAUACUUGAGACUUCUCCAUCUUUGUUCGCAUCAGCAAACCUCCAAAACUCUUUAACUAGAGUAUCUACAGCAUAAGACUGGUCUAGGUUAAAGUACUCAGUCCAUCCAAUAUUAGCUUUCAUCUUCCAAUUGAUCUUCAAUUUAUAUAUAAUGAGAGGUUGUGAAUAUUGAAUUUAGACCAAAUAUAGUUUUUGGUCGUUCUUGCCAAUUGUCAAUUGCUUUAUUUGAAACAAUCUUCUUGUUUGCACUUCUGUCAAGAACGUUUUUCUUUAAACAAAAUGUUUCGCCUUGAGCCUUGAAGAAAACAUGACCGAUAAUGAUUAGAUGAUCACCAUUAUGGUCGUUGAAACAAUAUUGAUUCUAAGGCAUGUGCAGUUGUCACAUCAAUAGUUCCAAUUCAGUGUAUUUUAGUCCUUUUUAUAUUGGCCUCCAUGUCAUCAAUAUAAAGAUCAAUGUGCAAAAUAUUUUGCAAUGUUGUUUUAGUAAGUGGACCUUCAACAAUUGUCUUUUAAAUGCUCAUUAAUAUUAUAGUGCUCCAUGUUAUUUUGUUUGACACAUCUACUCAACUACGAUAACUUUGAUGUAUUUUUUUUCAUUUAAUAUAUUUUGUUUGAUUUUAUUAUUAUAAUUUAGUUUAUUUUAUUUAUUAAUUUAGUGUUUCUUCCUUUAUUAAAAAUAAAAAAUAAGGCAACACAUGGUCGCAUCUCCAGGAUGCAACCUCUUAUAGAAGAAAAAAAUUAUUUUAGGUGGUCACAUCCCAUCUCCGCUUUGCGAUCUCUUGAAGGUAAAAAAAAAAUUAUAACAUUUUUAUAUAUAAAUUUCAAUAUAUGGUAUAUUAAAAAGUUGAUUUCAAAAAAUAUAUAUAAUGAUAAAAAAAAAAAGAGUUUUAAUUUGUUCAUAUUGUGUUAGCUCAAUAAUAAGAGUUUAACACUCUAAUUAGAGUUGGUAUAAUUUAAGGUAAUUCAUGACAUAACAUUUAUUGUAGUUGAGUUUAUUAUGUUGAUAUUAAUAUUGAGACUCUGAAUAUCGUUG
rnacentral:lncRNA from 1 species